GAUUGCUGUUUCAGAGGCAUCUCAUCUGGCAUCAAAUCAACUAUUUCUGCCAGGUCAUCACUGCUACAGAACUGGAGCGGCUGCUUCUGAGAGGGUUGGCUGCAGCAAUUCAAUUAAGCUUCAGUGGAUUGCCAUGCAGUGGGAUUUCUGGAUGGACAAAACAACAGGGUCUGACUUCCUGCUCUGUCUCUGUCUCCCUCUCUGAACUCGAAGGCUUGCCGUGAAUAGAAAAGAGCCUGCAGGCUCUCGUCAUUGGUGAAUGAGGAGACCAGCCAAACGCUGCUGUCAAGUACUCACUGUUCACUCUUUCUUUCUCCCCCUCUUUCUUUUCUCCACGUCCACUUUUUAUUGUUCACAUGCAAAAGACUUGUUUUCAAGCUAGACUGUUACAAUCUUACAAAGUCUGCUGUACAAAUGAGCCUUUUGUAAUAAACUACAGCAAUGUUA